AACAAUACGUAGAAGGAUCGAGUACAUAGCAGACCAUCUGACUAGAGAGAAACUCCCUUGGCUGGAAGGAGUUUUAGAUGAAGGGCUAUGGAACGCUAAUUCCUGAGUGCAGGUAAAUACUGCCGGGUUUCGCUCCGUUAUAGCGGGAGUAGAGGUAUAACAAACUCUACAUAAAGUGAUGAAUUUUUUAAUAAAUUCAUAAUCAGGGUGGUACCGCGAAAACUCUCGUCCCUGCA
rnacentral:ncRNA from 1 species